rnacentral:rRNA from 1 species
AACUAACGCUGGCGGCGUGCCUAACACAUGCAAGUCGUACGAGAAAGUCGGCUUCGGCUGAUGAGUAAAGUGGCGCACGGGUGAGUAACGCGUGGAUAAUCUGCCCUUGAGUGUGGAAUAACGUACCGAAAGGUGCGCUAAUACCGCAUAAUGCCUGGCAACACAAGUUGUCCGGCCAAAGAAGGCCUCUGUUUACAAGCUUUUGCUCAAGGAUGAGUCCGCGUACCAUUAGCUAGUUGGUGGGGUAACGGCCUACCAAGGCUACGAUGGUUAGCUGGUCUGAGAGGAUGAUCAGCCACACUGGAACUGAGACACGGUCCAGACUCCUACGGGAGGCAGCAGUGAGGAUAUUGCGCAAUGGGGGCAACCCUGACGCAGCAACGCCGCGUGAAGGAUGAAGGUCUUCGGAUUGUAAACUUCUUUGAUGAGGGACGAACACAAUGACGGUACCUCAAAAACAAGCCACGGCUAACUACGUGCCAGCAGCCCG